GAUUGCAGAGAUAGAGAGCCAUUCUGCUCCAUCAGAUGUUCCAAUCGAGCUUCAGCCGUAAAGCCGGAGCUCUCUGGCAAGUCACGAUAAUGGCCACUACCCCACUCCACUCUCUGUAACAGAUUCCACAUGGCCCCACCACUCUCUGGAAAGUCGCGACAAUGGACACCACUCCAUUCUUCAUAACAAACUCCAUGUAG
rnacentral:lncRNA from 1 species